ACGAACGCUGGCGGCGUGCUUAACACAUGCAAGUCGAACGGAGAGGCCCUGCUUUUGUGGGGUGCUCGAGUGGCGAACGGGUGAGUAACACGUGAGUAACCUGCCCUUGACUUUGGGAUAACUUCAGGAAACUGGGGCUAAUACCGGAUAGGAGCUCCUGCUGCAUGGUGGGGGUUGGAAAGUUUCGGCGGUUGGGGAUGGACUCGCGGCUUAUCAGCUUGUUGGUGGGGUAGUGGCUUACCAAGGCUUUGACGGGUAGCCGGCCUGAGAGGGUGACCGGCCACAUUGGGACUGAGAUACGGCCCAGACUCCUACGGGAGGCAGCAGUGGGGAAUAUUGCACAAUGGGCGGAAGCCUGAUGCAGCAACGCCGCGUGCGGGAUGACGGCCUUCGGGUUGUAAACCGCCUUCGCCUGUGACGAAGCGUGAGUGACGGUAAUGGGUAAAGAAGCACCGGCUAACUACGUG
rnacentral:rRNA from 1 species